CACGUAGGGGCCAAGCGUUGUCCGGAUUUAUUGGGCGUAAAGAGCUCGUAGGCGGUUCGACAAGUCGGGUGUGAAAACUCCGGGCUCAACCCGGAGACGCCACCCGAUACUGUCGUGACUGGAGUCCGGUAGGGGAGUGGGGAAUUCCUGGUGUAGCGGUGAAAUGCGCAGAUAUCAGGAAGAACACCUAUGGCGAAGGCAGCUCUCUGGGACGGUACUGACGCUGAGACGCGAAAGCGUGGGGAGCGAACAGG
rnacentral:rRNA from 1 species